rnacentral:rRNA from 1 species
GACGAACGCUGGCGGCGUGCUUAACACAUGCAAGUCGAACGGAAAGGCCCUGCUUUUGUGGGGUGCUCGAGUGGCGAACGGGUGAGUAACACGUGAGUAACCUGCCCUUGACUUUGGGAUAACUUCAGGACACUGGGGCCAAUACCGGAUAGGAGCUCCUGCUGCAUGGCGGGGGUUGGAAAGUUUCGGCGGUUGGGGAUGGACGCGCGGCCUAUCAGCCUGUCGGUGGGGUAGUGGCUUACCAAGGCUUUGACGGGUAGCCGGCCUGAGAGGGUGACCGGCCACGUUGGGACUGAGAUACGGCCCAGACUCAUACGGGAGGCAGCAGUGGGGAAUAUUGCACAAUGGGCGGAAGCAUGAUGCAGCAAAGCCGCGUGCGGGAUGACGGCCUUCGGGUUGUAAACCGCUUUCGCCUGUGACGAAGCGUGAGUGACGGUAAUGGGUAAAGAAGCACCGGCUAACUACGUG